UACGGAGGGUGCAAGCGUUAUCCGGAUUCACUGGGUUUAAAGGGUGCGUAGGCGGAUUGGUAAGUCCGUGGUGAAAUCUCCAAGCCUAACUUGGAAACUGCCAUGGAUACUAUUAGUCUUGAAUAUUGUGGAGGUUAGCGGAAUAUGUCAUGUAGCGGUGAAAUGCAUAGAUAUGACAUAGAACACCAAUUGCGAAGGCAGCUGGCUACACAAAUAUUGACGCUGAUGCACGAAAGCGUGGGGAUCAAACAGG
rnacentral:rRNA from 1 species